UUUUUUAAAUUCCUAACUCUCCAAGAGGUAUUAAUCAUGGAAGAAAGAUACCCAUUUGAUGUGCCCUACGGUGCAGCUCUGUCAAUCCAGAGAUAGGCACCAAAAUUUGUGACAUCAGAAUAAAGCUACUCACACUGUACUUACUGCACAAAAGAGGCCAAAUUGGCAUGGCUUUCGACUAUCUCUGCAAAAUCCAUUUGGAUCCAUUUCUGCAACUGUGAUCUACUAUCAACCUGGGGGGCAAAGGAGAAAUCAGCCCCAGGAGCGUGGAAACCACUAUACUUAAAACUAUAUCCUUUGCUUAUUUAUUUCAAGUAAAAGGCCACACAGACACAGAAAAUUAGAAGGCUCGUGAAAUAAGAUUUAAGUUCCAUUCUGGUUACAGGGUCCUCCCUGAUGUUCAAUCCUAGAGGCUAUACCUCCCACUCUUGAAGAAUUUCCAAACCUUCCAGGCCCAGGAGAGUUUUCCAUGUUGAAAGAUUGCAGGAUGGGACCCCAUAACAAUCCCCCAAAAGUUCAGGCUGAAAUUACAUGCAGGCCAAGUCUGUAUGAUGCAGCCCUCUGUAAUUGUUGGGUCUCUUCCAGAAGGCUCUCAACACAUGGGACUCCGAUGAAGUUCAGCAUGUGGAAAGGGCUGAAGCUUGAAGCCUGUGUAUUUGUAAUGGAAACACAGCAGUGACCCCAUGAUCCAGAUGGUGCCUGCUUUCCC
rnacentral:lncRNA from 10 species